UCUUGUAGCUGGUUCCCUCAGAAUAACUGGCUCCCAGAAGUCCAAUCUCAUCUGUUAAAGCGAAUGAUUAGAUACACUGGAGCCGAAACAACUCAACCUAUUCUCAAAUGUUCAACUGUUGAAAAUUCCUUGUGCUUCGGUGAACCAGGAUGACGAAGGAGAGUAUCCAGAGGGCCUCAUUUGGUGCGCAGGACUGGCGCCUCGGAAUGAAUCAAACACUGGGUUACUGUGCCUGAUGCAAGACGCUCGUGAGAUCCUAUGUUAGGUGUUGGUUGCUCUUGAAAACAGGAUGUUGGCCAUGGAAGUCGGAAUUCUCUAAGAGUGUUAUAACUCACCUGAUGAAGCAAUUAGCUCUAAAAUGGAUGAUACACUUAUUUGUCUGAGGGACUUAGGAUGGCAGUGAGAAGGAGGACGAAGAGUUCGUCGCGACGGAGAGUUCGAAGGCACAGGAGUAAGCCUGUCUAAAGCCUCCAUCGGUGCAGACCUUGGGGUAGUAGCAAAUACUCAAAUAUGAACCUUGAGGACGGAGAAGGGUUCCAUGUGAGCAGGUGUUGAACGUGGGUGAGUCGACCCUUAGGGAUCAGCGAGAUCCGUAACAAAAACGAGACCUUAUCGAUUUCUGAAUUUGUAUCGAUACAGAACAAUAGGGAAUCGGUUUAAAAGUCCCAGAAAUGUAGAUUGAGAUUCUGACCCUGAUCGUGGUAACGCAAACUGAGGUAUCCGUCAAGGAACCGGGGAAGAGUGUUUUUCAUAAGAGAUAAAGAUAGGAUCUCAAAGGAACGAGAAUGUAAGCGACGUUUCUACCGGCCCUUGCAAAUCUGAGAGAUAGAGUAUGAUUUUCGGGCCAAUCCGUAUCUCUAACCUCAG